UAGAAUACAGGAGGCGUUUACCAUUGCCUCCUCCCACACAGUGUGAGAUGAUGCCUUUCAGCAUCUUCCUAUAUGCCACUGCCCAAUAUAGGUGAUUCCCAUAGUCUGGGAAACAGAUUCGAACCGGCAACCUCUUGCUUGAUAAUCAAGUCAUUUCCCCACUGCGCCAUUAGAUGGUUUUACUCUGUGCAAAAAUGACUGCAAUUUUACCCUGAUCAUUCGAGGGCAGGGACAAAGAAAGGGUGAUAACACAGAGAAAGUUGUAAGUGCAACAACGCUAUUGCCUGUUUUCCAUCAUUGGAGAGGUCCAUGCUGCCAGUAAUCAUUAUGAGCAUUUGUCCGCUGAUGUGGUACCGAAGGUGAAAAUUCAUGGGUCUACUUUUCAGAUCCAAAGAACGGAGAAUGCCGGAGAGGAAGUUACAGGUAGACUUAAACCUCUUUCCUUUGAGGUGAUUGCUCCCUUCCAGACCCUGUCUGCUGAUGCCAGUUUUGCACAGACAGUUAAACUCCAUCAAAGGACAUGUUGCAAAUUACAAGUUAGUACGGUGCAUUCAUUUCAGUGCUGGAAAGACUGUCAGAUUGGGAAGUGGGGGUGUUUCCAUGUGAAUGCUGGCAGCCCAGACACAACGCAGAAUGGCUUAGAAGUGUCCCAUCUGCUUUUCUGACCCCUCCUAACAGCGCCUGAUCCAAAGUUCAAAGUCGGCUUGUUUUAAGAAAAAGGAAACAGCAAAGUGACUUUUUCUUCUUCAUCCUCCUGGAUCUCAUUGGACUGGAUUUGCAGCGGGUGUGAGCACAUGCAGAAUGCUAAUAUUUGGUAUCCAGGUGCUUGUUUGUUUGUUUUUAAACCUGCAACCCAGGAUUAACUCUUUUAUUGCCUUGAUUUUCAUUUUAGAAAAAACACUCCUGUAUAACUCAUAUUCCCUGGGUAACCCGUUUCUUUGCCAAAGCACUAGGACAUCAAAAAGAAUUUCUUUGUACUCAACAAGAUUUGGUGUAUCUGUGAAUGUUCGGACAGUUUAUAGUGGAGAUAUUCAUUAAAAGACUUUUAUUUGAGAGACCCUUUUCAAAACAAAUACAUACAAUUUAAUCCUUGUCAUUUACAUAGCAGAACUUGACAAAUCCCAGGUGCCAGGGAAUCAUGGUGCCUAGAAAUUUAACCGUGGCUGCUAGACUAGGAUAUUCAGAGGUAGAGUUCUGGAAUAAAAUCUUUAUUUUCCCCAGGCAGCCCUGUUUCUGUUCUAUGUUACUUGCUGAAAGGCUGUCUGCCAGUGCCUGCUGAGGCCUGGUUGUCAUGCACACAGAACAGGGCCUUCUCUGUGACUGCCUCCAGACUAUGGAACUCCCUGCUGGAGGAGACUCAUCUUGUGCUCUCCCCUCCCAUCAUCCUGGAAGCAGUUGAAGACCAUCCUAUUUAUUCAGGCUUUUGAGCAGGGAGUUUUUGCACUGAUUGUUUGUUUGUUUGUUCUGUUAGUGGCUGAUGUUUUUAAUUAAGCUUUUACUGUUGUUUUCAGUGGAUUUUAGUGAUAUUUAUAUUUUGUACAUUGCCCUGGAAUCACUGACUGAGGGUGGUUUAGAAAUGCAAAAAAAUGCAUAAUAAACACAAGUUUUUUUUUAAAAAAAAUAACCUGCAUGGCCAAAUGCAAAUCAGAGUUGCUUCAAAUUCAGAGUUGCUUCAGGAAAGGAGAGCUGGUCUUGUGGAAGCAAGCAUGACUUGUCCCCUUAGCUAAGCAGGGUCUGCCCUGGUUACAUAUGAAUGGGAGAAUAGAAGUCUGAGCACUCUAAGAGAUUCUCCUUAGGGGAUAAUGGGGCUGCUCUGGGAAGAGCAGAAGGUUCCAAGUUCCCUCCCUGGCAGCAUCUCCAAGAUAGGGCUGAGAGAGAUUCCUGCCUGCAACCUUGGAGGAGCUGCUGCCAGUCUGUGUAGACCAUACUGAGCUAGAUAGACCAAUGGUCUGACUCAGUAUACGGCAGCUUCCUAUGUUCCUAAAUCAGGGACUGGGACACAAAACUAAAACUGUGCCACGGAGCAGCGCAAAGACCAGGGCUGCACAACUCCCACCCUUCCAGCUGUUGUCGGACUAUGACUCUCAUUGGCCAAUGGUGAGGGAUGAUGGGAGUUGUAGUCCAACAACUGGAAGGCUGAAGUUGUGCUGGCCAAAGCCAGCCAAUUAAUACUCACAGGUGAAGAACACGACCAUUGACAGAAACACAAGGACAGAUGCUGCAGAUUAUUUUACUUGCAAUCAUUAACCUGUUGGGCGUCAGGAACCUUUGAUGAUCUACUGCAAACAGGCCUGAGAUCUGCCAGAAGAUUCCAGCUGACCUUCUGCUCACCUUGUGCGAUCCUAGCUCUCAACAUCUAGCAAAGCUGCUAGAGCAGAGGGUCCAACCUGGGUUCCUCCAGAUGUUUCUGAACGACAACUCCCACCAACCCCAGCUACAAUUUAUUGAGGCUGGGGGUGAUAGGAGUUGUAGUUCAGCAACAUCUGGAGGACCACAGGGUGGGAACCCCUAUACUAGAGAACGUGGUUGAAUUAUUAAGGGCACAGUCGCCCUGGAAAUUCUUCUCCACAAAUCUGCUGGAAGAUGCAUAAUCAUCGUACCUAGCAAAGUGCUUUAUAUGAAUGAUCUUCUUGUAAUCCUUACAACAGAGUUCUCAGACUUGGAUUCCCAGAUGUUGUUGGCCUACAACUCCCAUUAUCCCCAGCCACAGAGGCCAUGAUAGAUGCAUGAUGGGAGUUGUAGUCCAACAACAUCUGGGAUCCCAUGGUUGAGAACCCUUCACCAAGGGAGUUCAUGGCAGAUUCCAACCAGCGAUGCCCUAAGUCAUAGCUCAGGCACUUAACCCAGGCCUUGACAAAUCUCCUUCGGAUCUAGCAGCCAGCCCAUAAAUGUAGGAGCUGGACAAUGGACACUUGACAAAAUUACCAGACUUAGUGGCGGACAUUGUGGAGCGGAGGGUAAAUGUCUUUAUCCUCCUUACAAAUAACCAGGGGUGUAACUAUAAUUGAGCAGGUGGGCUCAAAGAACCUGGGUCCCCCCAGCUCCACCCCUCCCUAUUUUCUUCAUUAUCUCCCUCACUCCGAGGGGUCACCGGGAGAGGGGUGAACACGGGCCCCAUCUCCCCUAGCCCCUACAAAUAAUAUACUUGGAACAGAAACAGGACUGCCAGGGACAAAUACAGGUUUUAUUAAAUAACUCUGCCUCUGAAUAUUCUAGUCAAGGCACCAUGGUUAAAUUUCUGGGUGCUGUGGGUGCCUGGCACCUGGGAUCUGUCAAGCCCUGUCCAUGAGUGCACAGAAUUUCUCGCCUUUCUAUGCUUCUUAAUUUUAAAAAAUUGUAAUUUUAAAUUUAGUUUUAACUGAGGCUUUCUUUUAGUUAAUUCCUAUUAACUUUAUGAGUUUUAUAUUGGUUUUAUAGUGUAUCCGUUUUAUUGAUUUUGUGAGCUGCCCUGAGCAGUAAUAUGCUGGAGGGGUGGGUAUAAAUAAGUAAAAUAAAAUAAAAUUUCUUCUAACGCAA